GUGGUCGUAGCUCAAUGGUAGAGCAUCAGUUUGUGGUACUGACGGUUGCGGGUUCGAGUCCCGUCGAUCACC
rnacentral:tRNA from 1 species